AUAAAAAUACUUGAAAUUGAAGUAAAAAAAAAAAAAAAAACUCCCCCCCAAAACGUAACCUGGCUCAUGCGAAUUCAUUUGAAACCCCUAACCCAUUCGAAACACCUCACCCCCACUAAAACCUCUUGCCACCGGCCAUGCACGACCCUCUUUUCGUCGUCUCCGUUUGCCUCCAUUUGUCUCCGACGACCUCUGCCUACCCAUUUGAAACCCCCCUUUCUCCUUGCGGUUCGAGGCCGAAGAUUACACAAAACACAGAGAGAGGGUGAGAGUGAGAGCUGCCAAAAUACACAAACAGGGGAGACAGAGAGAGAGUGCGUGUCUUUUCGACGGGCAGAAGGCAGACGGCGUCGAACGGCCUCGCGACGGUUUCAUCUCUAUGGGGAUGUUCACUUUGUGGAGCCCAAAACCCUAACCAAAACCCUUCCUUCAAUUUCUUCAUUCUAACCCCAAAAUGUUCAAACAUUUCCUCCUCUUUUCUUCUACAUUUCGUCCAAAAUCGUUUUCUGAACACCAUUUCUACUUCUACAUUGCCUUUGCCCUUUCUUUCUACCAUCCAAUUCCUAAAAAAUUCAUGUGGCCUUUCUUCAGGAUUUACUACUUCCGCCGGUCGAAAGCUCCAGUUUGAUGACAAAAACAUCUAGCAGUACGGAGCCGUUCAGUUUCUUGAAAUCACAUGGAUUCGAGAAUCCACAGAUCGCCAAUUUGGUCUCGAGGCACCCUUCGAUCUUUCAAUCCUCAUCCACCAAUCUGAAGCCUAAAUUUGAGUUCCUCCAGGAAGUCGGGGUGAACCUUAUUUGAAAGCUGUUGCUCUAAAAUCUUGCAACUCGGACACUACAGUUCCCAUAAUUCAUUAAUUUGCAGAAGAUGGGUUCAUUUCCUCUUGCUUCAUUUUUUGGAAUGCUAAAAUGCAAGUGUUUAACAAUUUUCUUAUUUGGAGCUUCCCAUUCAACUUAGUAGUGGGUGUUAGUUUCCAGAUAUGUAGCCUGUGCUUAUGCCAUUACAUUCAACUUAGUAGUGGGUGUUAGUUUAAAAAUGGAGCUUCCCAUUCAACUCACCAGGUACUUUAGCCAUUGAUCUAGCCUGUUGCCUGUGCUUCUGUCUUAUACAUUAGUCCCAAAAGUGGGAGAAUUGAAUAGAAGACCGUUAACAAUGCUAGAGAGGACAUCCUCCGGUGCUUCCUUUAUUAUGAAUACCUUUGGAGAGCUUUUUUUUCCAACCAUAAGAGAAUCGAUGGAAGAUUGGAAGGAAAUAUAAUUUUUCAGACUAUGUAGUGUAACAUUGUAGGAGAUACUAAGUUAAGUUCGUUAGUAGUUUUCAUAUUGAAUUUGAUGUUAAUUAGUGUAGAAGUGGGUAAAGGGAUAGUUAACUUCAUUGGUAAAGUUUUGGUUGAUUUAGUUUGAUAAAUUAGCUUAACUUAGUUCUUAUGUUUAUAAGUGCCAAUUUUAAGUUUAUUGCA